AGGGAUUGCCCCAGUAACGGCGAGUGAAGCGGCAACAGCUCAAAUUUGAAAUCUGGCCCCUAGGGCCCGAGUUGUAAUUUGCAGAGGAUGCUUUUGGCGAGGUGCCUUCCGAGUUCCCUGGAACGGGACGCCACAGAGGGUGAGAGCCCCGUCUGGUUGGAUACCGAGCCUCUGUAAAGCUCCUUCGACGAGUCGAGUAGUUUGGGAAUGCUGCUCUAAAUGGGAGGUAUAUGUCUUCUAAAGCUAAAUACCGGCCAGAGACCGAUAGCGCACAAGUAGAGUGAUCGAAAGAUGAAAAGCACUUUGAAAAGAGGGUUAAAUAGUACGUGAAAUUGUUGAAAGGGAAGCGCUUAUGACCAGACUUGGGCCCGGUGAAUCAUCCAGCGUUCUCGCUGGUGCACUUUGCCGGGCUCAGGCCAGCAUCAGUUUGCCCCGGGGGAUAAAGGCUUUGGGAAUGUGGCUCUUUCGGGAGUGUUAUAGCCCACUGCACAAUACCCUGAGGCGGACUGAGGUUCGCGCAUCUGCAAGGAUGCUGGCGUAAUGGUCAUCAGCGACCCGUCUUGAAACACGGACCAAGGAGUCGUCUUCGUAUGCGAGUGUUCGGGUGUAAAACCCCUACGCGUAAUGAAAGUGAACGCAGGUGAGAGCUUCGGCGCAUCAUCGACCGAUCCUGAUGUUCUCGGAUGGAUUUGAGUAAGAGCAUACGGGGCCGGACCCGAAAGAAGGUGAACUAUGCCUGUAUAGGGUGAAGCCAGAGGAAACUCUGGUGGAGGCUCGCAGCGGUUCUGACGUGCAAAUCGAUCGUCAAAUAUGGGCAUGGGGGCGAAAGACUAAUCGAACCUUCUAGUAGCUGGUUUCCGCCGAAGUUUCCCUCAGGAUAGCAGUGUUGAACUCAGUUUUAUGAGGUAAAGCGAAUGAUUAGGGACCCGGGGGCGCUUCUUAGCCUUCAUCCAUUCUCAAACUUUAAAUAUGUAAGAAGCCCUUGUUACUUAGUUGAACGUGGGCAUUCGAAUGUAUCAACACUAGUGGGCCAUUUUUGGUAAGCAGAACUGGCGAUGCGGGAUGAACCGAACGCGAGGUUAAGGUGCCAGAGUAGACGCUCAUCAGACACCACAAAAGGUGUUAGUACAUCUUGACAGCAGGACGGUGGCCAUGGAAGUCGGAAUCCGCUAAGGACUGUGUAACAACUCACCUGCCGAAUGUACUAGCCCUGAAAAUGGAUGGCGCUCAAGCGUCUCACCCAUACCUCGCCCUCAGGGUAGAAACGAAGCCCUGAGGAGUAGGCGGACGUGGAGGUCAGUGACGAAGCCUAGGGCG
rnacentral:rRNA from 1 species